AACGCGAAGAACCUUACCAAGUCUUGACAUCGGAAUGACCGUCCCGUAACGGGGGCUUCCCUUCGGGGCAUUCCAGACAGGUGGUGCAUGGUUGUCGUCAGCUCGUGUCGUGAGAUGUUGGGUUAAGUCCCGCAACGAGCGCAACCCUUAUCCUUAGUAGCCAGCACAUCAUGGUGGGCACUCUGGGGAGACUGCCAGGGAUAACCUGGAGGAAGGUGGGGAUGACGUCAAAUCAUCAUGCCCCUUAUGAUUUGGGCUACACACGUGCUACAAUGGCGUAAACAAAGGGAAGCAAAGGAGCGAUCUGGAGCAAAUCCCAAAAAUAACGUCUCAGUUCGGAUUGUAGUCUGCAACUCGACUACAUGAAGCUGGAAUCGCUAGUAAUCGCAGAUCAGAAUGCUGCGG
rnacentral:rRNA from 1 species